rnacentral:rRNA from 1 species
UACGUAGGGUGCAGGCGUUAAUCGGAAUUACUGGGCGUAAAGCGUGCGCAGGCGGUCUCUUAAGACAGGUGUGAAAUCCCCCGGGCUUAACCUGGGAACUGCGCUUGUAACUGAGAGGCUAGAGUGUGGCAGAGGGGGGGUGGAAUUCCACGUGUAGCAGUGAAAUGCGUAGAGAUGUGGAGGAACACCGAUGGCGAAGGCAGCCCCCUGGGCUAACACUGACGCUCAUGCACGAAAGCGUGGGGAGCAAACAGGAUUAGAAACCCCGG